rnacentral:rRNA from 1 species
GCAGUCGAGCGAAUGGAUUGAGAGCUUGCUCUCAAGAAGUUAGCGGCGGACGGGUGAGUAACACGUGGGUAACCUGCCCAUAAGACUGGGAUAACUCCGGGAAACCGGGGCUAAUACCGGAUAACAUUUUGAACUGCAUGGUUCGAAAUUGAAAGGCGGCUUCGGCUGUCACUUAUGGAUGGACCCGCGUCGCAUUAGCUAGUUGGUGAGGUAACGGCUCACCAAGGCAACGAUGCGUAGCCGACCUGAGAGGGUGAUCGGCCACACUGGGACUGAGACACGGCCCAGACUCCUACGGGAGGCAGCAGUAGGGAAUCUUCCGCAAUGGACGAAAGUCUGACGGAGCAACGCCGCGUGAGUGAUGAAGGCUUUCGGGUCGUAAAACUCUGUUGUUAGGGAAGAACAAGUGCUAGUUGAAUAAGCUGGCACCUUGACGGUACCUAACCAGAAAGCCACGGCUAACUACGUGCCAGCAGCCGCGGUAAUACGUAGGUGGCAAGCGUUAUCCGGAAUUAUUGGGCGUAAAGCGCGCGCAGGUGGUUUCUUAAGUCUGAUGUGAAAGCCCACGGCUCAACCGUGGAGGGUCAUUGGAAACUGGGAGACUUGAGUGCAGAAGAGGAAAGUGGAAUUCCAUGUGUAGCGGUGAAAUGCGUAGAGAUAUGGAGGAACACCAGUGGCGAAGGCGACUUUCUGGUCUGUAACUGACACUGAGGCG